UCCUGGGAUAGCUCAGUCGGUAGAGCAUGAGACUCUUAAUCUCAAGGUUGUGGGUUCGAGCCCAUGUUGGGUAA